GUCAUAUAAAAGGACCAUUUAAAAAUCUCAAAGAUGCCUUGGCUUUGAAUCUAUAGUGCCCCCACACUGGCUAUAGCUGUUCAUGAUGCCAGUGUAAUGAAUCUGCAAUUUUAAACUGACUGGUAGGGGUUUUAAAACUAUAUAAAGCCCAGUCCUUUAUUUCGGUUGUCACCACCAACAUUUUGAGUGCUCAUGUGUAUUUUAAAUUCAAGCUCUGAAAGCUUAGUGAAGAAAAGAUGUAUUCAUUCUCAGGAGCAGGUCUUUACCGACCAGGGAAGUUCAGACGGUUGGAUUAUCUGGGUUAUCCCGGACGUGUGUCUGUUGGCCCUCACGUUUUGGGGUAGACUGAUGUAAUGGUGAUGGCCUUCCAUCUCCAUACGCUCCUUUAUCAGCUGAGGAGAACUGAACAAAUAAACGAGGUCACUCAUCUUUCAUAAGAGUUGCAAAUAUCACAGGUCCAACUGCUCUGUCAUAGAUGCUACGAGAGUCUCCAAACAUCUUUUUCUAGAAAUUUAUUAGAAAUCACAUGAAAUUAAUGGGCCAUUGAAUGAGAAAUAUUUAUUGACAAGGGAUUUAAUCUUAGAAUUAACUGUCCUGAAGGGAUCUAAUGGGCUUGUACUUUUACUGGAAUAAUUACCAUACUGGCUCAGUCUGGACCAGACUGGAAUCUAAGU
rnacentral:lncRNA from 1 species